GGGCUGGCUUUAGCUCAGCGGUUCCUUCGCAUACAGAACUUCCUACUCGCAGUUGCUCACUUGAGCGACAGCGGUUCGAGACCCGCGGGCGCUCUCCAGCCCUUUU
rnacentral:vault_RNA from 12 species